CCUCCUUUAACCGAUCCCUUAUCAGCCUAACCUUGCUUUCAGUGUCUGCCAAAAAUUUCGAUCCAAGCACUUGUCGUUCACCCAACUCUGUCCAACACGUCGGCGUACGACAUCUUCGCCCAUAAAGGGCUUCAUAUGGUGCCAUCUGAAUACUUGCUUGGUAGCUGUUAUUGUAACCAAACUCCGCCAAUUGUAAGUAGUCCUCCCAACUUCC
rnacentral:lncRNA from 1 species